rnacentral:rRNA from 1 species
GUUAGGUAAAUCCGGCUCUCUUUAAGGCUGAGACACGACGUCGAGCAUCUACGGAUGUGAAGUCAUUGAUGCCAUGCUUCCAGGAAAAGCCUCUAAGCUUCAGAUUGUAAGGAAUCGUACCCCAAACGACACAGGUGGUCGGGUAGAGAAUACCAAGGCGCUUGAGAGAACUCGGGUGAAGGAACUAGGCAAAAUGGUACCGUAACUUCGGGAGAAGGUACGCUCU